rnacentral:rRNA from 1 species
CCUACGGGAGGCAGCAGUGGGGAAUAUUGGACAAUGGGGGGAACCCUGAUCCAGCGACGCCGCGUGAGUGAAGAAGUAUCUCGGUAUGUAAAGCUUUAUCAGCAGGGAAGAAAAUGACGGUACCUGACUCAGAAGCCCCGGCUAACUACGUGACAGCAGCCGCGGUAAUAAGCAGGGGGCAAGCGUUAUCCGGAGUUACUGGGCGUAAAGGGGGCGUAAAGGGUGCAGCAAGUCUGGUGUGAAAGGGCUGGGUCCAACCCCGGGACUGCAUUGGAAACUGUUGAACUGGAGUACAGGAGAGGUAAGCGGAAUUCGUAGUGUAGCGGUGAAAUGCGUAGAUAUUAGGAAGAACACCAGUGGCGAAGGCGGCUUACUGGACUGUAACUGACGUUGAGGCUCGAAAGCGUGGGGAGCAAACAGGAUUAGAUACCCCAGUAGUC